CGUCCGAGUUGUAGUCUGGAGAAGUGUUUUCUGUGCCGGACCGUGUACAAGUCCCUUGGAACAGGGCCUCAUAGAGGGUGAGAAUCCCGUCUUUGACAUGGACUACCGGUGCUCUGUGAUGCGCUCUCAACGAGUCGAGUUGUUUGGGAAUGCAGCUCAAAAUGGGUGGUAAAUUCCAUCUAAAGCUAAAUAUAGGCGAGAGACCGAUAGCGAACAAGUACCGUGAGGGAAAGAUGAAAAGCACUUUGGAAAGAGAGUUAAACAGUACGUGAAAUUGCUGAAAGGGAAACGCUUGAAGUCAGUCAUGUCUGCCAGGACUCAGCCUUGCUUCUUUUGCUUGGUGCACUUUCUGGUUUGACGGGCCAGUGUCGAUUUUGACCGUUGGAGAAAGGUGGAGGAAAUGUGGCACCUUUCAAGGUGUGUUAUAGUCCUCUGCUGUAUGUGACGGUUGGGAUCGAGGACUGCAGCACGCCUUUAUGGCCGGGGGGUCACACCCCACGUUACGUGCUUAGGAUGCUGGCUUAAUGGCUUUAAGCGACCCGUCUUGAAACACGGACCAAGGAGUCUAACUUGCCUGCAAGUGUUUGGGUGGAAAACCCAAGCGCGCAAUGAAAGUGAUAGUUGAGACCUCUGUCAUGGAGGGCAUCGACGCCCGGACCUAAUCUACGGAGAUGGUUCUGCGGUAGAGCAUGCAUGUUGGGACCCGAAA
rnacentral:rRNA from 1 species